GGGUCCGCGGCCAUCAGCUAGUUGGUAGGGUAACGGCCUACCAAGGCAACGACGGGUAGCUGGUCUGAGAGGAUGAUCAGCCACACUGGAACUGAGACACGGUCCAGACUCCUACGGGAGGCAGCAGUGGGGAAUCUUGCGCAAUGGACGAAAGUCUGACGCAGCGACGCCGCGUGGGUGACGAAGGCCUUCGGGGUUGUAAAGCCCUGUGGGGAGAGACGAACCGGCUCGUGGCUAAUAUCCAUGGGUCUUGACGGUAUCUCCUUAGCAAGCAUCGGCUAACUCUGUGCCAGCAGCCGCGGUAAGACAGAGGAUGCAAACGUUGCUCGGAAUUACUGGGCGUAAAGCGCGCGCAGGCGGUCCUGUAAGUCGGGUGUGAAAUCCCGGGGCUCAACCCCGGAAGUGCACUCGAUACUGCAAGACUGGAGUACUGGAGAGGAGAGCGGAAUUCUCGGUGUAGAGGUGAAAUUCGUAGAUAUCGGGAGG
rnacentral:rRNA from 1 species